rnacentral:rRNA from 1 species
AACGAACGCUGGCGGCAUGCCUAACACAUGCAAGUCGAACGAGACCUUCGGGUCUUGUGGCGCACGGGUGCGUCACGCGUGGGAACCUGCCCUUAGGUUCGGAAUAACUCCCCGAAAGGGGUGCUAAUACCGAAUAAUGUCUUCGGCCCAAAGAUUUAUUGCCUUUGGUUGGGCCCGCGUUGGAUUAGCUAGUUGGUAGGGUAAAAGCCUACUAAGGCGACGAUCCAUAGCUGGUCUGAGAGGAAGAUCAGCCACACUGAGACUGAGACACGGCCCAGACUCCUACGGGAGGCAGCAGUGGGGGACAGUGGACAAUGGGGGAAGGCCUGAUCCUGCAAUGCCGCGUGAACGAUGAAGGCCUUAGGGUAGUAAAGCUCUUUUACCCGGGAUGAUAAUGACAGUACCGGGACAAUAAGCUACGGCUAACUCCGUG